GACGAACGCUGGCGGCGUGCUUAACACAUGCAAGUCGAACGGAAAGGCCCUGCUUUUGUGGGGUGCUCGAGUGGCGAACGGGUGAGUAACACGUGAGUAACCUGCCCUUGACUUUGGGAUAACUUCAGGAAACUGGGGCUAAUACCGGAUAGGAGCUCCUGCUGCAUGGUGGGGGUUGGAAAGUUUCGGCGGUUGGGGAUGGACUCGCGGCUUAUCAGCUUGUUGGUGGGGUAGUGGCUUACCAAGGCUUUGACGGGUAGCCGGCCUGAGAGGGUGACCGGCCACAUUGGGACUGAGAGACGGCCCAGACUCCUACGGGAGGCAGCAGUGGGGAAUAUUGCACAAUGGGCGGAAGCCUGAUGCAGCAACGCCGCGUGCGGGAUGACGGCCUUCGGGUUGUAAACCGCUUUCGCCUGGGACGAAGCGUGAGUGACGGUAAUGGGUAAAGAAGCACCGGCUAACUACG
rnacentral:rRNA from 1 species